UUCUAAUGCCCUCAUAUUGAGAUUUGAUUCUGAUGAUUCAAGGAAAAUUUGGCAAAAUCGCUUGCAAGGAGCCAUAUAUCGUGCUUCGGCCUCUGCUCCUAUUUUGGGUCUAUCUGAAACUUCCUCAAACUCCGAGGACUCAGAAAUGGAACCAGAUGAAAGUGAUGGUACCCUGGAUUCAUCUAUAGAGAGUGUAUUUUUGACUGGUUCUCUCGAUGAACUUAAAGUCUGUUUCAGUUCUAG
rnacentral:misc_RNA from 1 species